GUGUCAGCCGCCGCGGUAAUACGUAGGCAGCAAGCGUUGUUCGGAGUUACUGGGCGUAAAGAGUGCGUAGGCGGUCCGGCAAGUUUGGUGUGAAAUCUCCCGGCUUAACUGGGAGGGUGCGCCGAAAACUGCGGGGCUUGAGUGUGGGAGAGGUAAGCGGAAUUCCUGGUGUAGCGGUGAAAUGCGUAGAUAUCAGGAGGAACACCGGCGGUGUAGACGGCUUACUGGACCAUGACUGACGCUGAGGCACGAAAGCGUGGGGAGCAAACAGGAUUAGAUACCCGCGUAGUCC
rnacentral:rRNA from 1 species